GAACUCACAAACUGUGAGGUCACGCCCUGAGCUGAAGUCAUAUGCUUAACCAACUAACCAGCCCAGGAACCCAUUAUGAAUUUUUUAACAUCAGCACAACAAGUCAGUGCAAGGUGCACUUUGGAAGGAAGCCAGCAUUCUCUCUCUCUCCUUGAUAUGGGCUGCAAGGAUCGCAUUCAAUUUUACCAAUGGAUUAUCACCAAACUCUUAAAACAAAUGUGUGUAUUUGCCUUCUGCCAGCUCUCCCUCUUUUCUGACACUUUCUAAUAGCUAUGGGCAUUUGGUUUGAUCAGAGUAGACACCUGAUUAUUUAAAAAUCCAGUCCUAACCACACUGGUGUGAUUCUGCUUGCAUAUAAAAACAAAGGUCCAUUGGUUGAAACAUUAAACGGAAUUAGGAGAA